rnacentral:lncRNA from 10 species
AAGGAAGAGGAGAAGGUACCUCUUGGUGUCUUGUUUACUCCCACUAUGCAUACGUUCUUUAGAAAGCAAAUUACUGAACCAUAUGGAAAAGGAAAAAGCUAAGAUGGAGUUUCACUCUUGUUACCCAGGCUCGAGUGCAAUGAUGCGAGCUUGGCUCUUUCGCUCUUGUUACUCAGGCUCGAGUGCAAUGAUGCGAGCUUGGCUCACUGCAACCUCUGCUUCCCAGCUUCAAGUGAUUCUCCUGCCUCAGCCUCCCGAGUAGCUAGUAUUACAGGAGAAAACCAAAAGCCAAGGCACCACUUCCUCCAGCUGAGACCAAAUAUACUGAUGUCUCUUCAGCUGCUGAUUCUGUAGAAUCCACUGCUUUCAUCAUGGAACAGAAAGAAAACAUGAUAGAUAAAGACGUUGAACUCUCAGUGGUCCUACCUGGGGAUAUUAUCAAAUCUACUACUGUUCAUGGCAGGCUAAACUUUUAAAGCAAAAUGUUCAUUUUGGGAAAUCUGAAAA